GACGAACGCUGGCGGCGUGCUUAACACAUGCAAGUGGGGCGACGAACCAGGCUUCGGCCUGGGGCAAAGCCGCGAACGGGUGAGUAACACGUGGAUAACCUGCCCCGAAGACCGGGACAACCCGGGGAAACCCGAGCUAAUACCGGAUGUGGUCACCGUCCAUAAGGACGAUGAGCAAAGGAAGCUUCGGCCUCCGCUUCGGGAGGGUCCGCGGCCCAUUAGCUUGUUGGUGAGGUAACGGCUCACCAAGGCAACGAUGGGUAGCUGGUCUGAGAGGACGAUCAGCCACACUGGGACUGAGACACGGCCCAGACUCCUACGGGAGGCAGCAGUGGGGAAUCUUGCGCAAUGGGCGAAAGCCUGACGCAGCGACGCCGCGUGA
rnacentral:rRNA from 1 species